rnacentral:rRNA from 1 species
UACGUAGGGCGCAAGCGUUGUCCGGAAUUAUUGGGCGUAAAGAGCGUGUAGGCGGCCAUACAGGUCAGCUGUGAAAACUCAAGGCUCAACCUCGAGACGUCGGUUGAAACCGUAUGGCUAGAGUCCGGAAGAGGAGAGUGGAAUUCCCGGUGUAGCGGUGAAAUGCGCAGAUAUCGGGAGGAACACCGGUGGCGAAGGCGGUUCUCUGGGCCUGUACUGACGCUGAGGAGCGAAAGCGUGGGGAGCGAACAGG